rnacentral:rRNA from 1 species
AACGAACGCUGGCGGCAGGCCUAACACAUGCAAGUCGAGCGGACCCUUCGGGGUUAGCGGCGGAUGGGUGAGUAACGCGUGGGAAUAUGUACUUCUCUACGGAAUAGUCCUGGGAAACUGGGGGUAAUAACGUAUACGUCCUACGGGGGAAGGAUUUAUCGGGGAAGGGUUAGCCCGCGUUGGAUUAGGUAGUUGGUGGGGUAAUGGCCUACCAAGCCGACGAUCCAUAGCUGGUCUGAGAGGAUGAUCAGCCACACUGGGACUGAGACACGGCCCAGACUCCUACGCGAGGCAGCAGUGGGGGAUCUUAGACAAUGGGGGCAAUCCUGAUCGAGCCAUGCCGCGUGAGUAAUGAAGUCCGUAGGGUUGUAAAGCUCUUUCAGCUGGGAAGAUAAUGACGGUACCAGCAGAAGAAGCCCCGGCUAACUCCGUG